CUUAGAGCCAAGCUUGGAGCAUUGAUUUCCAGGUCUAUGGGUGAGCCAAGCAUGCAUCUACUCUGGCCAAGCCUUCUGAUUCUUUCAGGACUGGCCAUCUUCUAACUGAACCUGCAUGAGAAACUCCAAGACAUUGUGACAUUGACAUGGUAAUAGCUGGCUUUUCGAAUUCUGAUUUCUGAGAGCAAAUUUCAGUUUAAGGUGAUGACUGAACAAAACCAUUGGUGGCAUAUCAAUCAUUGAGCAGAGAAGCAGAGAAGUGACAUGGAGUAGAGGGUUUAUUAUAGGGAUUUAGCGUGAUGCACUCGUGAGAUCUGGCCACUCAUGGUCCUCUGUGACCCAGAAGCAAAUGAUUCUCCCCUGACAUAUGGUCAGAAGGUCUAUAGUAGCUUAAAGUGAUGUCACAGCAUCUGCAUCAUUCACCACACUUCAUCUUAUCAGUAAUGGAAGAGUAGGUGUCCUUAUGAAUUGUUCCUGGGACACUAUGCAAUAAUUUCUGUAUGUGUAAGAGACCUGCUACAUAAAAGUCCUCUUGAUUCCAUGCUCUCGGUCCCAGAGGAUGAUCUUUCAACAGAGAGGAACAUUGUUUGCUCACAAGAGGACUUUUCCUGCCAGUUACAGGAAGCCGUGACACCCAUUGACUUGGAGAUGGGCGACCAUAUCAUAGAAAUGAUGGCAGUAAAACUAAAUUUAAAUUCAUAAACUGAACUUUGAAAUUGCAUACAAGAAAAAUUUAGAUUUGAGCAGAGUAGUUUUUUUCCCCCUACUUUCAGACCCAUUGAGACUCCUUUGGCUAACAGAGGAUUAUUAGAGACUACACCUAUAGGAUGUGGGCCAAAAGAACACAGGAGAGACCAUCUUCAAAGAUUUUUCUUUUACAAGUUUUAGAUGAUAAAUGUAUCAGAAAA